UUUAGGGUGGAGAAAAUCAGAUCAAGAAAGUGAAUCUCUGCACACCAUACCAUCCGUACAUCAGACAUUCAUCAGAAAUUCUUGUAUCACACUUUGUGGACCUUGUGCUUGAGAAACAGGACAUGCUUUCCUGUAAAGAGAGAUGGGAUGGCAUCUUAGCUCUUGUUCCAGAAUCUAUAAGGACAGAACUUAAUGCUUCCUGGUCAAAAUCCAAGAAAACAUCAGUACAAAGAUGGGAUGAACUGGAAGUUUGACUGGAUAUAACCUUAAUGUAAGACAU